UUAGGCAGCAACCAUUUGAUUUUCUGGGGGGGCUAUGGUUUUUUUUUCUGCGCAAACUUUUUUUUUCGCCUUCGGCGAAGAACAAUCUAUUUUUUUAGCGACAAACCGAAAACAAUUUUUUUCUUUCAAUUUUAGCAUUACAUAUAGUGGGAGCUGAGGGUGAAACAAACAAUUUUUUUUUUCUCAGGGUCCAAAACAAAUUAUUUUUUUCACCAACACCUGGAAACAAACUUUUUUUUCCAAAAAAAACCAUAGCCCCCCC
rnacentral:lncRNA from 1 species